UGUUUUUGGAGUUCGCAACGUUCCAAUCAGACAACUCAACGAUGUUGUCAAACAACAUCUAUCUACGAACUCGACGAUUUCGAAUCCGACUCUAAAUUAGGAGAGAAGCAAUUUCUCUUGGGAAAGAGAAUCAGAAAACCCUACAAGUGUUGAGGAACAUGAGCAAACUACACAUCAAUGCCAGUGAUGAUGCAGGGUUCUUGAGGGAAUUUGACAGAGCUAGAUCAAAAGAGAAUCCAUGAGCAUGUUGACCGGCAAUCAACAGUGAUGGAUGAUAUUGAGACAAUUCUAAUCCGAUGGUCUGACAUGCCCUUGCAAUUCAGCAGAGGCUUCUCUGUAUAGAGCAAGGAUGACUAUUAUGAUCUAAAGAAUGAAUGCUUCUUUAAGACACUUCUUCACCACUUGCAGUCAAACUUGUUAAGGGAAGAGAUAGCUUCCGAGAUCCUUGCUAAGAAGCUCUCACAAUACCAGACCGUCAUCAAAUCUACUGAAUCCACUCGUCAGCCAGUUCCCACUAUGCAGAGAAGCUAUUGCCCGCGCAAGAUUUCCCUGCCCCACCUUUCCAGAGGGGGCGAGAUGUAGGAAAGCGAUGAGACUCGAGAAUCUUAUGGCACUUCCUUUACAGGAAACAUACAUCACUGCAUUGGCGGGCCAUAUUCACAUAUAUAUUUAUUUCUUCGGAGGGGGUUGACGGUGGCAUCUACGAGUGAGUCCACGCUUGUGGCCAACGGAGCCCUUCUACGUCUAGAAAGAUCUGUUGCAUGCUAACCCUCGGUUAAGCAUUGUUGAGGAAUAUUCCAUAGUUACAAGAAAAGAGAAAAGAAAAGAAAAAUUCAUCUGAAAAGAAACACUGAUGAGUAAACAAUGAAGAACGGAAUGCUCCUAACAGGACUGAUACGCAAUGGCUCCUGGUAGCGAGGGAUGCCGCUCAGAGACAUCUAACUAGGGGUUAUACGUCGGGGGGGUUGGCUUGCGUUAUAACCCAUGUUACUAUGUAUGGAGACUCACGUCGGCUGACCCCUCGGGUGACUAAGCUGACCUACACUAGAGUUGAUGAGGGUAGUUCGGGAUCAGAGAUCCUUGAAUGGGCUAUUUAUAUGAACGUUGAGUAAGAUCCAUACAGCGAUGGAUCUGCUAUGGGGGGACGAGAGGAUGAGAUUCCUUCCCUAGCAUGUAAUUCCUUCCCUUUUUAUGAAUCCUUCUGAUCAUGUAUCCUUGUUGCUUUCUUUCUUCUGAGGCCUUGUUUGUUUUCAUCUUUUUAAAGAAGGAUUCCUUUGUUUUUCUUUUGUUGUUUUCUAUUUUACUCUUAGAAUGACCGAGGAAUCAAGGAAUGUAACUAGUAUUCAGAG
rnacentral:sRNA from 1 species